ensembl:lncRNA
GGUCCGACGGUGCUGCGUUCCGAGGCUGCGGGUUGGGGUCGCGGUCGGACGUGCGGAGGUCUAACUUUUCAGGGUGCUCAAUCACUGCUUCAAGCUGUGACUUAGCAUUUCUGCUACACCACUCAGGAGCACAACUCAACCCAACCAAAAUGGCCACGUCAACCCAACACGAGUGACAACCUAACCCAACACAAGCUAAAUCGUGCAACCAAAUACAACCCAAUCAAAUAUACCUCAGUGAUGCAACCCAAACCAGCCUGAGUGAUGCAGCCCAGCCCAGCUCAACCCAGCUUAACAAAACAAAAUCGUGCACAGCACAGCAUGAUCCAGGAGGACCUUUUAGAGAGGUCCAGGGGAGAAGGAUCCAUGACUGUAGCUCCCCUUGCUGCAAGGCUGUUGCAACAAAACAGCAAUAAGAGCAAAACAACUUGUACCAACCAGGACUGCACCUCUAUGCUGUGAAUGACUGAAAGGUGGCUGAGUGUUGAAGACAUGAGAGUCCAGUGAUACUGGACAGUGUGUUUCAAGGUGAUUGAAGGACCAGCCAAAGGGGCAGAGCCCAAAUCCCCUUGGGGACUUGCAGUCAGCGCAGAGAGCUGAUCUGCCUGGUGCCAAGGAAUGCAUCACGUACCCAUGAAAACAGGAA